AUCCAGCUGACAAGUCCCAAACAAGAUGAAAGGCGCAUCCUGGAU
rnacentral:hammerhead_ribozyme from 1 species